AAAGCAGGUUGCAAUUGCAGUACUUCAUUCUGUGGGAGUGCUGUCAUUAGUCCUGCUGAGAGUAAUGAUGCCUGCCCAAACAGAUUUGAUUUCCCCUUCACUGUAGGAGAAAUCUCAUGCUGGCAUCAACAGUG